rnacentral:rRNA from 1 species
CGGACGGGUGAGUAAUGUCUGGGAAGCUGCCUGAUGGAGGGGGGUAACUACUGGAAACGGUAGCUAAUACCGCAUAACGUCGCAAGACCAAAGAGGGGGACCUUCGGGCCUCUUGCCAUCGGAUGUGCCCAGAUGGGAUUAGCUAGUAGGUGGGGUAAAGGCUCACCUAGGCGACGAUCCCUAGCUGGUCUGAGAGGAUGACCAGCCACACUGGAACUGAGACACGGUCCGG